GAUUGUAGCUCAGUGGUAGAGCGCUUGCCUCGCACUUGUGAGGCCCUGAGUUCAAUCCUCAGCACUACA
rnacentral:tRNA from 1 species